ensembl:snoRNA SNORA57 small nucleolar RNA, H/ACA box 57
CCUCCAUUUCUUGGCGGAGGCCGGGUGCUUAGUCCUGGCCCCCGUUAUGUACGGAGGCAGAACAAGGGGACCCUGGGUCCCCCCGGCGUCAUGUCUUCGGUGCCGGCGGUUCCCCAUCCGCCGGUUCUAUCCUCAAUCGCCGGGACACCG